rnacentral:lncRNA from 1 species
CAUAUUACUAUAGUUCGCCGCCUCCUCCAAAGAAGUCUCCUCCACCUCCUUAUUAUUACAAGUCUCCACCGCCUCCAUCACCAUCACCACCGCCGCCUUAUUACUACAAGUCUCCUCCUCCUCCAUCACCAUCCCCUCCUCCUCCUUAUUACUAUAAAUCUCCACCACCACCAUCUCCUUCUCCUCCACCACCUUAUUAUUACAAGUCUCCACCACCACCCUCGCCAUCCCCUCCACCCCCAUACUACUAUAAAUCACCUCCGCCACCGUCUCCAUCGCCUCCUCCACCUUACUAUUACAAGUCACCACCACCACCGUCCCCUUCCCCACCCCCGCCGUACUACUCCACGUCACCACCGCCCCCCUCCACUUUCCACCACCAACCACCAUAUUAUUACAAGUCUCCACCGCCACCUUCACCUUCUCCUCCGCCACCAUACUACUAUAAAUCCCCACCACCACCAU